rnacentral:rRNA from 1 species
UAUACGACCGUACCGCAAACCGACACUGGUGCGCGAGAUGAGUAUUCUAAGGCGCUUGAGAGAGCUCAGGAGAAGGAACUCGGCAAAUUGACACCGUAACUUCGGAAGAAGGUGUGCCCUAUUAGUGUCUAGUGAACAACGAAGCAUGAAUGGGUUGCAAAAAAUCGGUGGCUGCGACUGUUUAUUAAAAACACAGCACUCUGCAAACACGAAAGUGGACGUAUAGGGUGUGACGCCUGCCCGGUGCUGGAAGAUUAAAUGAUGGGGUGCAAGCUCUUGAUUGAAGUCCCAGUAAACGGCGGCCGUAACUAUAACGGUCCUAAGGUAGCGAAAUUCCUUGUCGGGUAAGUUCCGACCUGCACGAAUGGCGUAACGAUGGCCACACUGUCUCCUCCUGAGACUCAGCGAAGUUGAAAUGUUUGUGAUGAUGCAAUCUCCCCGCGGAAAGACGGAAAGACCCCAUGAACCUUUACUGUAGCUUUGUAUUGGACUUUGAACAGAUCUGUGUAGGAUAGGUGGGAGGCUUUGAAGCAGGGUCGCUAGAUCUUGUGGAGCCAACGUUGAAAUACCACCCUGGUGUGUUUGAGGUUCUAACCUAGGUCCAUUAUCUGGAUCGGGGACAGUGCAUGGUAGGCAGUUUGACUGGGGCGGUCUCCUCCCAAAGCGUAACGGAGGAGUUCGAAGGUACGCUAGUUACGGUCGGACAUCGUGACGAUAGUGCAAUGGCAUAAGCGUGCUUAACUGCGAGACUGACAAGUCGAGCAGAUGCGAAAGCAGGACAUAGUGAUCCGGUGGUUCUGUAUGGAGGGGCCAUCGCUCAACGGAUAAAAGGUACUCUGGGGAUAACAGGCUGAUACCGCCCAAGAGUUCAUAUCGACGGCGGUGUUUGGCACCUCGAUGUCGGCUCAUCUCAUCCUGGGGCUGUAGCCGGUCCCAAGGGUAUGGCUGUUCGCCAUUUAAAGAGGUACGUGAGCUGGGUUUAAAACGUCGUGAGACAGUUUGGUCCCUAUCUUCCGUGGGCGCUGCAGAUUUGAGGAAGCCUGCUCCUAGUACGAGAGGACCGGAGUGGACACACCUCUGGUGUAUCGGUUGUCACGCCAGUGGCAUUGCCGAGUAGCUAAGUGUGGAAGAGAUAACCGCUGAAAGCAUCUAAGCGGGAAACUCGUUUCAAGAUGAGAUCUGCCGGGGCCUUGAGCCCCCUAAAGAGUCGUUCAAGACCAGGACGUUGAUAGGUCAGGUGUGGAAGCG